GCCUUCUGGUUAAUCUGCUUCAACUCUCUCCCUACUUCAGUCCAUCCUCCGUCAGUUAUCAAGCUGAUCUUCCUGAAGUCUGGGCAUCUCACCUCCUCUUCAAUAAACUCCAGUGUUUCCCCCUUUUGCCUUCAGAACCAAAUAUAAAAUCCUCUGUCUGGCUUUUAAAACCCUUCAUAAACUGGACCCUUCCUACUUUUCAGACUUAUUAAAUUUUACUUCCUUCCAUGAACGCUGGGAUCCGGAGACUCUGGCUUUCCUGUCCUUCCUCGGAUACCUCCUCUGGAACCAGCAUUUUCCCUGGCUGUCUUCCAUGUCUGAAACGCUCUCCCUUCUUAGCUUUGCCACCCAGCUCCCCCGCCUUCCUUCCAGCUUCUCCUACAAUUCCACCUGUUGCAAGAAGGCUUUCCCUGUCCCCCCGCUGGGAUUAUUGCCAAUCUGGCUUAUAUCUUGCUUGUACAUAACCGUUCUGUUGUCUCCCCUUCUCAUGAACUGUUUUGAAGGCAGGGACUGUUUUUGCCUUUCUCGGUAUUCUAGAAUUUAGCGCAGUGUCCGACCCAGUAGUAAAUGCUCCUUGGCUGAGAGUUCUAGGACUCUGGGUAAAGAGAAAGCUUCACAAACGGGCUGACACGUCGGUAUGGAGUCUUUACAGUUUACAACCUUCUUUAUCUAGUGGGCCGUGGAUUCUUAGGCGACAGGCGGGGCCGUGUGCGUUACCCCUACUUUAUAUAGGAGAAAACACGCAGAGGGAAACGGACUUGUGAUUAGUAAGGAGUUGAUGGAAAAUCUCCCGAGUUUCCCUCGCCUUUCCUCAGGAAGCUUACACUCUAGGCAGGAAUCUGAGCAAGCCGCGGGAGAGCCCUUACAGAAUUAAACGCUAGACUUGGGAGAACGCAGCAUCCGUGGUCAGUCUCGGAGGAGAUCCGGACUGGAUUGGCACCUUAACGGGCAGCCUCAUCUUCUGAACUCUGACCGGGGGUACGUGCAAGGCACUCGCGGGAACUGCAUCCACCCCCGCCCACUCUCCCGGGGUUGAGACUGAGAAACAAGAAGCGAAGGGUUAAACAAGGUUCUUUCCUUCUGCAAGAGAAAAUGAGUUCCCAGGGAGGCGAGGCGCUCGGGAAUGGGAGGAGCCCCAGCUUCGGCCGCACCUCCCAGAGGACGGCUUCUGGAACAACCUACAACUCCCCACCCGGGAAGGAGGGUCAUCUUCCGCAUGCUCUUCUCGGGUCCUCCAGACCCGACUUCUGCCCACGCGCAGAGUAUUGUGGGAGUUGUAGUCCGGUGCCCUCUCUUUCCCUCUCCAUUUCCCUGCCCUGGGAGGCUAAGGCUUUAGCAAGCUGUAGGGGAGGAGCCCAGGGAAGCAGCGUUUGCAGGAUAGGCUGUAUUAGGGGGAGGACCAAAGUUUGUUUGUUUGCUUUUUUUUGGAGGGGGCAGGGAGGGCGGUAGUUUAAAAAAAAAAAAAUAUCUUUGAAUUAACCCUUCCCGAGCCCAGGAUGACCCAAGCGUUUGGUAGAUGAUAGAUAUUCUCUCAGGGAUCCUUUAAGGGGUGUGGUUUAGCUGCACGUGGUCCUGCUCUGGGACUCUUCUACCCUAAAGAGGUCUCCUGAGCAGAAGGGGGAUUUUUCCUAGGGGGCCGGGGCCAAACCCCAGGCUUUUGGUUCCGUAGACUCGGUCUGGGGGUUUGGUGAAUUUGUCCGAUUGAAGAUGUAAAUGCAAGACUUUCCAGGAGAGAAUUUUCUGCGGAAGAGCAGAAAUGCUCAUAGAAUCACAGAGUCUUUGAGGCAGGAGGUUAAUUCUUAGUUUAAAGCAUCAUGGGUUUAGAGCUUUCAGGAAGGGACGUAGAAAGAGUGAAUCCCCACCUCCCAAUUUUACUGAUGAGGAAACUGAGGGCGAGGAGGUGAAGUGCCUUGGUGUUCAUAUUCAAAUUGCUUGUGAGAAGCAGGUCUGGGGCCCUGCAAUCCAGUGAAGGCUGUAAUGACAAUGGGGAAGUGCCCUCUUGUAGACCCAGGAGGAAAUCCCCUUCAGAGCUCAGUUCCUUACAUUUGUAUAUUCCCAGGAAUAGUAUGAGUCCAAUUAUUACACAAUUCAUGCAUAUAUUAUACUGCUGAGUCGAACCACCCCAAGGCAUGAAUCUCUUUCACAAUCCUUCUCAGGUUGGGAUCAUUCAGCCUUAGUUCAAACACCUCUAUUGACAGGAGACUCACCAUCUCAUUCCAUUUCCAGACUUCCCAGAUGAAACAAAGAGACCUGACUUGGCCCCAUUUAUAAGAUAUGGGUGCCGAACAGCUGUGGAGCUGAGGGCAGCCUAGGGAAGAAAGGAAGUGUUAAAAUUUCUUUUUCUAAUGAGCACUAUAGUGUAUAAAGGCACUUUUUAAACUCAUCCCUUCCUGAGUGAAUAUUUCUACACCCAGUGACUGAAAAAUUAAGAGAGAAGUAUAUUUUAAUCUCCUUAGUCACUGUAGUGAUCGUGAGACUGAGAAAUAGGCAAGAUUUUUUUUUUUUUUUUGCACUUUUUAGUUGUGGUAGAAACAGGGAGAUUCAGACCAGAUGUUAGAGGUCUGGAGGCACAGGGGAGAUUAGCCAGAUGUGGCACUGGAUUGUGAGCCCUGGGGGAAGACCAACCUUCAAGAUCCUAAAUUCUCAUUUUCCUGCUCUGGAAAUUUUGUUGUCUCUUUUUCCUCCUGUAAAGUUUAAGGUUGGGAUUAUUACCAUUAUUAUUGUCAUGAAGUUUGCCUUCUAAUUCCAAGGGAAGCUCCCUCUAUUCUAAUUACCAAUAAAAGGAGAAAUAUUUAAUGUA